UGGUAAAUAAUGAAACAAGUCAAGCGUUCGGUCGAGCGAGUCACGCUCUGAUGUAAACAGUCUUGGUCGCGCGCUCAGGGGUCACGUAGCACGACGCAAGAGAAACAGUUGCAAAUAGUGUUUCUACGGAUACGGAUGCUGUACCGGAGGAUCCGGUUCGGGUUGGACAAAGGCGGCUCGAAGCAGCAGCAGUUUUCUCGAUGGCGUUCCUGUGAAUGCGAGUGCUGUACCGGAGGAUCCGGUUCGGGCCAAACAAGGCUGGCACGAAGAACGACGUAGCAGAACGUGGCCAGCCUUAAAUCGGUGCGAAAUGUACGACGAUGGAACAAUAGGCGUCGCGCGACGAUAACAAACAUCGGGCAAGAAGCGCGAGUUUGAUCCCAUCCGUCAGCCGUCGCGUUCUCAUUGAGCGCCGAGUGAUGACAACAAUCAAAACAUUCCGGAGCUCCGCGAAGGUCGGACGUACCUCGUGUGCCGCGUAUUUUUCCGAGUGCCUUUACCAUUACAUUCCGAGUCGGCGAGCGACACGCACAGGCCGGAACACGUGCGAGUCGGCGUGUUAUUUAACAUUCCCGUCGCUUAAUUAAAAUAUCCCGUCUUUUGAAGCGUUUAAUCGGCUUCUCGUCGAUAUCCCGCUAAUUAACAUUUUCCCGAUCGAAUCGUGCCUGAGCGAGUGUCAGUGUCAGUGCUCAGUGUUAGUGCCAGUGCCACAAUGGAGCAGCCACGAUGUCGGAGAAGCCAGGAUGGAGGACGCGAAAAAGCGGGGCACGAGCAGCGAUGCAUCAUAUAUUCCCAAGGUGUGCCAAAUCAUUUAUUGUACAGGACGUUUCCGUUUUUAACGGACGUCCGGCGGAUUCACCGAGAAUUGAGAGAUACCCGAGUCGAAAUUUAAGCCGGCUUUCAUGGUCUGUCAUCAUCCGACAUUAUUAUAGCCUCCUAAAUUUUCGAUUAUUC